GCCCUUGAACCCUAUGCUAGUCAUGGCCACGGCUAACAACCCCGCUGAAGUCGGGAAAAGCCCAAAGCUUUGCCCCUGCGGCAAUAAAAUGUCUAGCUGGGACACUCACCCCGUGUGUGCAGCAUGUCUGGGCGUACCUCACGCGCAGGCGGCUAUGUCCUCCACGGACGAUUGUAUCCACUGCGCUGCUUUCCCACGCAAGUUGCUCCGCCGACGGCUAGCUCGCCAGGCUAGUUUGUCCGGCGGUGACCCACUGCUGUCGGAGACAGCCUCGCCGCAAGGCGGGGUGGAUAUGUCGGGUGGGGCGGCUGAAGCGCUGCCGCCCGGGCUGAGUUGGGCAGACGCAGUUCCCCAGACUGCAGACUCCUGUUUCCCGUCAGAGGAGGGAUGGGAGAGCCUUAUCCGUGUCGACCCGAGACGAGACGCUGACGACGAGGAGGGAGAGUCUGCCGACUCCGAGCUCCUGUUAUCAGACGGUGACGAAGAAGAAACUAACUUCAGCGUCACCGGCGGGGCUGCAAAGCCGGGCGUCGCGAUGGGAGAAAUCCCUUCGGCGCUUUCUCCCCUGGAUCUCGACAUGCAGGACAUGUGCAAACGUGCCGCUGUAAGGCUCAACAUCCCGUGGCCCACGGUUCAAGCCGAGGAAGUCAGGUCUCGCUUUGAUGGCAAGAAGCUGCCCAAAGCAAAGAAGACGGGGAAACAAGUGCUGCCAAUUUUCCCAGAGCUGCUUGAUGAGAUAGCGGCUACGUGGAAAGCUAAACCAUACAGCGAGAAACACCCCAUCUCGGGGAGCUCCCUGUUGGAUUGCGAGGGGAUGGAGGCUAACGGCAUCCGCCAAAUACCUCCCAUUGAGCCGCUGGUAGCGACACACCUUCACCCGAAGACGUCCCUGUCCUCCUCGGUUUCAUCUUUUCCCUCCAAGACAGACCGCUUUCAGUCCAGCCUCACUGACAAGUGUUAUAAGGCGGCGGCUCUGUCGACCAGAGCUCUCAACGCCUCCUCUAUCCUGACGGCCUACCAGGCGGAAUUAGAGGAGGACAUGACGGCUAAACCAGAUAACUCCCUGUGGGAAGAAAUCUGCGUCAUUACGGACCACGUCCUUCGCCUCCACAAGGUGGCUAUCCAAGCCACGGGAAGAGCCAUGGGUCUUAUGGUCCUGCAAGAGAGAGCGCGCUGGCUGGGGCUCACCAACCUCACGACUAAGGAGAAAGAGGAGCUCCUCGACACUCCGGUCGUCCCUCAUGGGCUCUUCGGCUCGGCUGUUGCCUCCAUGCAGAAGAGAUGUGAGGAGAAAAAGAGAGAUGAUGAGGCGCUGAAACUUUGCCUGCCGAGGAGGGCUCCACCUGUUACUCCCGGCACUUCGCGUCAGUCAUAUGCUCAGGCUGUCUCUCACCCGGCUCCUGCUUAUCGGAUCCCCAAGGUGUCCAAGACGCAGGCAGCCCCUCCAGCCCCUAAAAGCGCCGGCAACCCAUGGGCUAGGAAGCAGUCUCCCCAUGCUCGGCAAGCCGCUCCACCACCUCAACCCGCUACCGCGACGGUGAGGAAGAAGAAGCGGCAGGCCUGACCGCUUCUCCCCAGGUGGAGGGCCGACCCAGGCUGCUCCCCCAACGGGUCGCCCUGCCCUUCUCCAGCUCAGUUCCAGAGCGGGUUCUGCGGGACGUUGCCCGCAUAGAGUGCAGCACUUGGACCGGUGUUCACGUUCGAGUGCCCAACAAACACAGACAGCAUUCUCAGUGUUGCACAAGCACUUCUGUCUUGCACUCUGUAAUAAAACAGUCCAAUGCGCAUCCAGGCAGAGAGCCGAGGGCGCUGUUGACUAUGACUAUGAAAAAAAUGCAGAAAAAAGAUAUGUUAAGACACACAACUAUCUUCUCUGCUAUAACACAGCCCGCGGGGACCAACAUCCCCGCGGCUGUGACGCGGUCCGCCCGGGCACCUCCAUGCAGCAGGCAGGAGUCACCGGGGCGGAUGGGCGUUGGGUGUUACGCACCUCGACCUCAAGAGGGC
ensembl:lncRNA